GCCGAGAUGGCCCAACCUGGUACGGCGCAGAUUUAAUAUUUUUAUAUGUUAGCCUGUUUCCUUACGGAUUUCCGGGUUCAAAUCCCGGUCUCGGCG
rnacentral:tRNA from 1 species